GUGCUGUAACAUCAUUUUAUAUGUAAUGAAUCUGAUGCAUUAGUUGAUAAAAAAGAAAUUAUUUGAUAUCAUGGUGAAGUGAUUCCAAGAUACAUCAAAUUUAUAUAGAAUUGACGCUGUUCCGUUGAGAAAAGUAAUCCGUAAUGUUCGACAUCCUCAUUUGAUUGCGUGUAAAAAAUUGCACAUUUUAAGUCCGAACUAAUUUAACGUGACGCGUGCCUACCGCAAUCUAAUAACAUGCAUUUAAAAGCAUUUUGAUUCCAUUGAAUGUUACAUUAAUCAAAGUUAUAAUUAGGUUAUUUCAGAUUAAAACAUCUUCAUUGUCAUUAAAUC
rnacentral:lncRNA from 1 species